GGAGCUCGAGACAUAUUCGGCAGUCCUGGCAAAGGCGCAGAUCAUAGAAAGGAGCUUCGACACCCGCCCUCAGCUAACGGGAAGUUCCCGACCUUCAGCCCCGCUCCGCAGGCCAGCGCCUACCAUGCCUGUCCAACCCAGUAAGAGACCCAGGCCUGCCGUUCAGGGCCCUCCUCAGGUUAUGGGGGCAGCUCGUGGGAAGAUCUGCCAGUACUGCGGUAGGGAUCAUGGGGACCGACCCUGCUACCGCCUCAACAACACCUGUCGCAUAUGCGGCAGUGCCCAGCACUAUGCGAGGGAGUGCCCUAGGAACCAGAAUCAAGGGAGG
rnacentral:lncRNA from 1 species